AAUCAAUUCAUAUUACAAAUAUAUUCAUGGCUUUGAACUUCCCCCUAGCUAAGUAGGGGAUUAGUUCCUCAUACUUGCAAUUAAACAAAAACAAUUGAUAUUAAACAUAGAAAAACAAAGUAGAAUACACCUAGAAUGCUCCAACAACUCCAAUGGAAUGGCUAGCACAACUCCAAGCACUCCUCCUUCUUUGCAAGCCUUGGAACUAAU
rnacentral:lncRNA from 1 species